ACUCAAAUGCAGCCCAAUCACAGGCACAAUCAGGAGGAUGUGCUUGUUAAUUUUAUGGUUUGCAAUUCUAUAGUUUUUUGACUCGGUUUUAUAUUUUGCUUUUGACAACAAAUAUUAUCUGUAAAGUUCUUUGUUGACUUUGGUAAAAUUUGAUUUUUUUUUUGUUUUUGGUGUUUGUUGAAGUUGGACACAGGUUGUCAUCCUAGUUGCGUAAGACUUUUAGUAUGUUUUCACUUAUUUGUAUCAGUCUCUAGACCUAUGCAAUUUAGCAGCCCCCUUAUGGAACAAGUCUUUUUAAGUGCAUGUUAUCAGUUUUGUAAUCAGAAAUUUUGGUUGGACGUUCUUGAGUGAGUAAUGG
rnacentral:misc_RNA from 1 species